UUAAGCCGAAUCACUAUAAAAAUUUAGUGUUUUAUUUUCAUAACCUUAACUCUUUAAAGUUUAGCAUUUUAUUUUCUAGUUAAGUUAAAAUUACUGUGUCAUGAUCUGCAUUAGUUUACUGCUCUGUUUGCUGAAUACUGCCAUGCCAUAUUAACAGUAUGCUGAGCAUGGUUUGAAUUAAAUCUGCAUAUAUAGUUAAUUUAAGCUAUUUAACACACACACACGCGCGCGCGCGCAGUUUGAGGGAGAGGACUUCAAACUCUUCAU
rnacentral:misc_RNA from 1 species